AGAAGAAUGCAGCCUGCUGAAAGAUUUCCAGACAAUGAAAGCGUUGGCCCGGGGCAGUUGUGAGACACCCACCCUCCAGAACACGGCCCAAGAAUACAAACAGCCUUCAGGCACUCUCCUUGAGGCUGUUAUGACCAGGUGGUAAAAGUCCUUGAAGGUAAGUGUU